GUUAGAAAGCAUUUGGUAGUACCAGUGAGUGAUGAAAUGUGAUGACCUUUGCAAAGUUUGCUCUUAUUUCCAUAGCCUGUUUAGGUAGAUUGUGAGUUGGAAUAGUUAGACAUGGAAAAUUUUUCCAGUCACCUGCAUAGAAACUUUAUAGGCAAUAAACCACAUCCCUCUAUGACAUGGUUCAGAAAAACUAAAAUAUUUCAUUUUAUUUGAUUUUUCUUUGUGAAAUAGCACAAACAAUUUGCUUUUAUGAAAUUUUCUAAUAAUCCUACCAAAUGUGCCCUAUUAUUAGAGAUUUGCUUAUAAGGAUAUUAGGGAACUACUAUUUGAGUUUCCUUAAGCUCAUGAGAAUUUAUUUUUGUCAUAACAUAUUUUUAAUAUAAAAGAAUUAUGUAAUUGAUCUUGAUAUAGCACAUUCAUUUCAGUAAACCAAGGGAAUGGAUGUCUCUGUGUUUCAAGUAUUUUCUCAAGAAAUCAAAAGUGUUAAUCAUCCUUUGGGUUUUUGUAGGCUGACUUUGCUUUAGACAUGGUCCUUUUUCUUAAUCAAGUAUCAGUUAGAGAAUGGAGGCCUGUACAAGACUGCUAACCUCCAUUUGAUGAAGGUACCAGAUACGAGGCACUGAGAGCAAAGCUGUUCCCAUCAGUAGAAAAAAGAAAAAUAACACUGAUCAUUUGACUAUGCUGAGAGAAUUAACAGACCAGCUUUACUUUUUCCAAUAUUCAAAAUAACUUGAAUCAAGUAAUUCAGCUAUGGCAAUUUUUUAAUCUUUUGUGGUUGUAUUGGCAGUAACAUUAAAAAAUAAUUGAAGAGCAAACGUGAUUGUCUCCUAUUCUGCUUCUCCAUACUGUAUUCAUAGAUUUGUAAAAUAUGAUUUAUCAAUGAUUCCAAUUUUCCCCAAAUACCGAAGUUUUACACUUCUCAUAGGAGCAAUCCUAGAGAGUUUAAAAUAAAUAAACCACUAUUCCAUGCUUCUAUCUAAGGGGCUUUUUUUUUUCUUUUUUUUGUAUGGGUAUCAGUAGAUUGACUAAGGAAUGUAUGUCUAAACUCCUGAGAAAAUAUAUAGACUGGAAACUGAAAUUUAAAGAAAUGGAGUGUUCGGUAGACACAGAGAAUGAUGAGCAAAGGGAAAAUCCUCACUAUAUGCAAAGUACUUUAGUUCAGUUUCAAGUUGUGUUAUGCCUUUUCUCUUUCCAUAGUUGCGUCUUGAAUUAAGAGUGUAAAAUUCAGGAUGCUGGAAGCCACUUCCUAAAAAGAAAAGAGUUUAAAAGAGUUUGUUUGAAAAUGCUCAGGUUAGUAAGAAUCUAAUCACACUCACAAAACUAAACACUCCAGAUUGUUUCAGUAGAUAAAAGGGAUCCCUGAACAAUACAACAUUUAUUUCUUCUGGAACAGAAAAUGUCAAAUGAAGCCCUACCUUGUUGUUUAGAGGCUUAAGGACAUUGUUUUAAUUUAUUCAACCAAUUCAAUUUCCUCUGCCUUCCUGUGGAAACAGUUUUAGCACAUUAAGAAUGAAGGGAUUAAUCACAGACAAAAAAAAAAUGCAGCACUGAUAAAAAAAAGUAAUUUAUUGUUUUUGCAACUGGUAUGUGAAUUUGUGUGAUAAAAUUAUUUAUUCUUAUUUAACAAAAAUAUGUGCAAAUUCUUCUAUAUUUAAGAUGUUUUGCUGUUGACCUACUUUUUAAUUUAUGCUUCAUGUUUGUGUAUAAAGUACACUUUGUGAGUUUACAUAAUA
ensembl:lncRNA